UGAAUCCAGGUACUCUAGAGGCUAUUCUAAAGCCCCUACAGGAUCUGGAUGGGAAAAUAUGGAAAAGGCAUAAACUUUGGAAUACAAAGAUCAGUAUCAACAUGCCACAUCUUGGCUGUAUAAUCUGAAAGAAGAGAGAGAUCACAAGUAGGCAGAGAGG